rnacentral:rRNA from 1 species
CUCUUCCAUACUCUAGACACCCAAGUAUAAAAAUGCAGUUCCAAAGUUGAGCUCUGGGAUUUCACCUCUGACUUUCAUGUCCGCCUGCGUGCGCUUUACGCCCAGUAAUUCCGAAUAACGCUUGCCCCCUUCGUAUUACCGCGGCUGCUGGCACGAAGUUAGCCGGGGCUUCUUCUGCGGGUACCGUCAUUAUCUUCACCGGUGAAAGAAUGAUACAACCCUCCUGCCUUCAUCGCUCUACCACCAUGAGGGGAUCAUGCUUGCGCCCAUAGGCCUGGAUUCCCCA